UCUGGUAUGAAAGGUUUGACGAAAUAUUAACUGUUUCAUAAAUAUUUAUAUUAGAAUUUUAUUUUUUAGUCAAAAAGCUAAAAUAAAUUUAAAAGACGAGAAGACCCUAUAAAUCUUUAUAUUUAUGUUAUUAUAAUUUUAUAGAUUUUUUAUAUUUUAAUAAUUUAUAAUAUUUUAUUGGGGUGAUAUUAAAAUUUAAUAAACUUUUAGUUUUUAAAAUCAUUAAUUUAUGAAUAAUUGAUCCGUUAUUAACGAUUAAAAAUUUAAGUUACCUUAGGGAUAACAGCGA
rnacentral:rRNA from 1 species